rnacentral:rRNA from 1 species
AACGAACGCUGGCGGCAGGCCUAACACAUGCAAGUCGAGCGCGACCUUCGGGUGAGCGGCGGACGGGUUAGUAACGCGUGGGAACGUGCCCUUCUCUACGGAAUAGCCUCUGGAAACGGAGAGUAAUACCGUAUACGGCCCUUUGGGGGAAAGAUUUAUCGGAGAAGGAUCGGCCCGCGUUAGAUUAGGUAGUUGGUGGGGUAACGGCCUACCAAGCCUACGAUCUAUAGCUGGUUUUAGAGGAUGAUCAGCAACACUGGGACUGAGACACGGCCCAGACUCCUACGGGAGGCAGCAGUGGGGAAUCUUAGACAAUGGGGGCAACCCUGAUCUAGCCAUGCCGCGUGAGUGAUGAAGGCCUUAGGGUCGUAAAGCUCUUUCGCCUGUGAUGAUAAUGACAGUAGCAGGUAAAGAAACCCCGGCUAACUCCGUG